UCACUGUCAAGUGGCAGCAAGCGUACAGUGUUUGUGGUCAACACUGUACCUCUCGUCUACCAGCAAGCAUUGUCCAUAGAAACUCAUACUGGAUACGAGUGGGCAAGUAUGAAGGUUCCAUGGCAGUGGACUAUUGGACUAUUGAUCAGGGGUUAAUGUAGCAUUUUUUGCUGAGCCAGCACACACCAUCAUGGCUGAGGCAGCACACCCCAGGGGGGACUACUGAGCCACCACCCCCCAGGAUGAAUGAGCCACCACACCCCAGCAACCCUCAUGUCCUCAGCACAGAUGAUGAAUCACUGGAACCAGCAGGUGGUUGUGAGUUUAUUGCCCGAGCCUACCAGCUGGAACUGUUUGAACAAGCCAAGAAACAAAACUCCAUUCUUGUUCUUGGUACAGGUUCUGGCAAGACCUUCAUAUCUGUUCUUCUUAUCAAGGAACUCGCU